UAGAGUUUGAUCCUGGCUCAGGAUGAACGCUGGCGGCGUGCUUAACACAUGCAAGUCGAACGAACUGUUCUAGAGGAAGUUUUCGGAUGGAAUCUAGGAUAGUUAGUGGCGGACGGGUGAGUAACGCGUGGGAAACCUGCCCUAUACAGGGGGAUAGCCUCGGGAAACCGGGAUUAAUACCCCAUGAAACUUGAGUCUCGCAUGAGACAUAAGUCAAAGAUUUAUCGGUAUAGGAUGGUCCCGCGUCUGAUUAGCUAGUUGGUGAGGUAACGGCUCACCAAGGCGACGAUCAGUAGCCGGCCUGAGAGGGUGAACGGCCACACUGGAACUGAGACACGGUCCAGACUCCUACGGGAGGCAGCAGUGGGGAAUAUUGCACAAUGGGGGAAACCCUGAUGCAGCGACGCCGCGUGAGCGAAGAAGGCCUUCGGGUCGUAAAGCUCUGUCCUAAGGGAAGAAACGGACGGUACCUUAGGAGGAAGCCCCGGCUAACUACGUGCCAGCAGCCGCGGUAAUA
rnacentral:rRNA from 1 species